rnacentral:tRNA from 1 species
GGGCCGGUAGAUCAGCGGUAGAUCGCCGUCUUGGCAUGGCGGAGGCCCCGGGUUCAAAUCCCGGCCGGUCCACCA